UACGUAGGGUGCGAGCGUUAAUCGGAAUUACUGGGCGUAAAGCGUGCGUAGGCGGUUGGCCAAGUCAGCUGUGAAAGCCCCGGGCUUAACCUGGGAAUGGCGGUUGAAAAUAGUCGACUCGAAUCUGGCAGAGGGGGGUGGAAUUCCACGUGUAGCAGUGAAAUGCGUAGAGAUGUGGAGGAACACCGAUGGCGAAGGCAGCCCCCUGGGCUGAGAUUGACGCUCAGGCACGAAAGCGUGGGGAGCAAACAGG
rnacentral:rRNA from 1 species